rnacentral:ncRNA from 1 species
CGAGUUUGAUCCUGGCUCCGGAUGAACGCUAGCAAUAUACUUAACACAUGCUAGUAUGUUUAGAUAGAAUAAACUAUUUGUUUUAUAUAGAAAUAUGCAUACGGGUGAGUAACAUACGUGGAAUUACCUUUUUUAUAUUUAUUAAAAAAGAAAGCUUCGUAUAGGAUUAGGUUGUUGGUAUAUUAACAGCAUACCAAGCUGACGAUCCUUAGUUGGUCUGUGAGGAUGAUCAGCCACACUGGGACUGAGAUAAGGCCCAGGCUUUUGCCAGCAGUGAGGAAUUUUGGACAAUGGGCGUAAGCCUGAUCCAGUAAUAUUGCGUGAAUGAGGAAGGUACUAAAGAUUUCUUUAAUAUAGAAAUCGUCUGUAAAAUUUUUUCGCUAAUUAAGAUAAUGACAAAAGUUAGAAAAGAAGCCCCGGCUAAUUCUCGUGCCAGCAGCCGCGGUAAGACGAGGGGGGCAAGCGUUAUCCGGAAUAAUUGGGCGUAAAGUGUUCGUAGGCGGCAAAAGUUGUUAUAUGUGAAAGUUUAAAUGUAAGUUUAAAAGUGCAUAUAAUACUCUUUUUGCUUGAGUAUAAGAGAGGUUAAUAGAAUUUUAUAUGUAGGGGUAAUAUCCAACGACUUAUAAAGGAAUGUCUAAGAAGCGAAGGCAAUUAACUGGAUUAUUUACUGACGUUGAGGAACGAAAGCGUAGGGAGCAAACAGAAUUAGAUACUCUGGUAGUCUACGCUGUCAAAUCUGAAUGCUAAUGCUAGGUUACAUUAAUCUGGUAAAACAGUUAACACGUUAAGCAUUCCGCCUGGGGAGUACGAUCGCAAGAUUGGAACCCAAAGAAAUUGACGGGAAUCUAUACAAAUUGUGGAGCAUGUUGUUUAAUGCGAUAAUACACGCAAAACCUUACCAGUUUUUGAAUAUAUUUUCAAAACAUUAUGUUAUAGAAUGUUUUUGUGAAUAAAAACUUUUUUUAAACGCAAAAAAUAUACAGGUGUUGCAUGGCUGUCGUCAGCUCGUGCCGUGAGGUGUGUGGUUCGGUCCAAUAAAACGAGCGUAACUCUUUUUUAAUAUUGGUAAGUUUUUUAACAAAUUAUUAAACUCCACUUAUUAGAUACAGCGGGUUGUAAUGAUCUGAGGAAGGUUAGAAUGAAGUCAAGCCCUUAUGGCCCUUAUAAACUGGGCUACUAAUGUGCUACAAUGAUAAUAACAAAAAGUUAUGCAAUAAAGUAAUUUAAAGCAAAUCUUGAAAAGUUAUCUAGUUCAGAUUGUAGACUGCAACUCGUCUGCAUGAAGUUGGAAUAAUAAGUAAUCGUAGAUCAGAAUGCUACGGUGAAAUCUGUACUUAGAUUUUGUACACACCGCCCGUCACAUGCUGGGAGUAAGUUUUGUUUGAAAAAUUA